UUUUAUGUCUUGUAGGUUUUUUUGGACUUUGUUAAAAGUCUGUAUGCAAAGUUCAUAUAUUGGGAUGAAGAUAUGUAUGACCUGGAAAAUGACACACCUGCCCAUGCAUCAAAUUUCAGCGCAGCAAUUAGUGAAGACUUGGGGCAGGUUGAAUAUAUUUUGACAAAUAAUGGGAACAUUGACUGAUAAUAAGAUGAUCUUCAGAAGAUGCUGUGUGAACCAGCCCACUCACUCUUCAGAGACCUUUGGAGAGGAUUAAUUUCAGGGGAUGAUGCAAACCAUUGAUCUAGGAGCAUCAUACUGUAAUUUGGAUGCCGCGGGAUAAUAAGGUGUAGUGGAGUACAUGAAUGUGAAUUGACUACUUCAGACAACACCUUGGCAAGUCACCUUCUAUGGUUGCAGGAUCUGAUAGUUCAGUUUAUCUACCUUGUGCCGAUUGAUUGGAUAUGUUGGAUGUAAUACAUGCUCACAUCUCACGUCAUCUAAUUGUCCCAUGAAAUUUUGGUGAAUUUCGUAAUUGCUAUUAUGUGCUUGUAAUCAUUUCAUUUUGGCAUGAGUACAAAUGGAUGCUUUGUCCCUUUUGCAAUUA